rnacentral:tRNA from 1 species
UCCGGGGGUGUCUAACGGCAGGACGGUGGGCUCUGACCCCGCAGGCGCUGGCUCGACUCCAGCCCCCGGAG